rnacentral:rRNA from 1 species
GACGAACGCUGGCGGCGUGCUUAACACAUGCAAGUCGAACGGAAAGGCCCUGCUUUUGUUGGGUGUUCGAGUUGCUAACGUGGGAGUAACACGUGAAUCACCUGCCCUUUACUUUCGGAUAUCUUCAGUAAACUGGGGCUACUACCGCUUAUUACCUCCUGCUCCACGGGGUGGGUUGGAAAGUUUGGGCGGUUGGGGAUGGAGUCGGGGAUUAUCGCAUUGUUUGUGGGUUGGUGGGUUGCGAAGGCUUUUACGGGUGCCCGGCCUGGUAGCGGGACCGGACACAUUGGGCCGGCGAUACGGCGCAGAAGCCGACGGGAGGCAGCAGUGGGGAGUAGUGCCCAAUGGGCGGGAGCCUGAUGCAGCAACGACGCGUGCGGGAUGACGGCCUUCGGGUUGUAAACCGCUUUCGCCUGUGACGAAGCGUGAGUGACGGUAAUGGGUAAAGAAGCACCGGCUAACUACGUG